rnacentral:lncRNA from 12 species
GUAUUAUGAUUUCAUUCAUCCCCGAUAGUGUUGGAUUUCAAAAUUAAAGCCUGUCUGACUAAAAAUGAGAAGAGACUGUAUUUCAAUGGUUCUCCAUUCUCUUUGUCCUAGGAGGUAAUUAUCAGUCAUUUUCCUUGAGAAGUUUACCUUCUUUUCAUGAUCCUAACAGAAUUUGCUUAACAAUGAGGAGGGCAGAAACCUUCCAUGAUGGCACUACAGAAUCUCCAUCUGUAAAUUAUAAGGUUGUUUGAAUUAGUUGGUUUUUUUUUUGGUGUGUUUUCUGAAAACAAGCACGAGAACGAGGAAGAAGAGCAAUUUAAACGUGUGAAUCCACUGCUUUUAAUAUUGCAUGUAACCUGGGAACUGAAGUUCUGGAAGUAAAUUAUAACAAGAGAGGCUUCAAUGUGGAAUAUGAAAGGAAACAGAAUUAAUCUCCGGAGAGCAGUUCUCACCAUUUAGCAGGCUUGCCGGCCUGGACCCAGAUAAUAUACAGGACGGCAAGUCCUAUGCAGAAACUAGAGGAAAAGGGGGAGAGUGUUGUGAAAAGAAGCAUUUUGGAAAAUUAUCCAGAAGGGGUCAACAAGGUAAAUGAAGGACCGUGGAAACCAAUUAGGAGGAUACUGCAGAAAUGAGACACCAAGGAGCAAGAGCCAAGUGUCAGAACCCAGUGAACAAUGUGGUUCUCCAAAAGCAGGAAUGCUGAGGACUACUGGAUGUCAAUGCUGCAAAGCCUUCUUUCUGCCCCACCCUCCCAAUUACACAAAAGUACAACCUCCUGUUUGUUAGAAUUGUCUUCCUCCACUCCUGAACACAAGCCCCUUUCCUCCUUGAGGGAUGCAGGCUUGAUUGUAUUUAAAGUAUCUCCACACCCAACUUGGAACUUGAACUCACAAAACCUGAGGUCAUGAGUUGUACACUCCACCAACUGAGACAGCCACGCACCCCCUAAUUUUAAAAAGGUUUUAAAUGUGCUUUGUAAACAUUGGUCAUUUUUUCUAAAUGUUUCUACUUUAUUAUCGAGUGAAGUGUAGGACAACCAAGUAUCUGGUGCUUUAUUUUUACUUGACCUGUCAUAUUGAUUAUUCACUACUUGAACUUCUCUCAAUUUUUGUACCAUUCUUUCUGAAUUAGUUCCUUCCUUGGAUCACUCUUAGUUCCUCUACUUGUUUGUCUUCUACUACCCACACUUUAUUUAUUUAUUUUUUUACUACCCACACUUUAAUUCGAACUUUGUAUACUUUUGUUUUUAGCUCCAAUUCUCAUUCUCUAAACUAUCUUUGGCAAUCUUUUCCCAUCUAGUAUAGACUGUGUGUCUCUGUGCACUUAACAAAUGCAUAUUUAAAGCCCUAACUUUCAGUGUGGCUAUAGUUGGUAAUGGUGAAUCCAAGGAAAUAAUUAAGGUUAGAUGAGGCAACAAGGGGAGGGGAGACCCUGAUCUACUAGGAUAGCAGUUAUAGGAAGAGACACCAGAGAGCUUGCUCACUCUCCAUGUUAUACACGCAAAAAAGGCCCUAUGAUGACAGAGUGAGAAGGUGGCCAUCUAUAAGCCAGGAAGAGAGCCCUUAAACAGAAAUAAAAUUAAAAAAAAAAAAAAAAAAAAAAAGAAG